GUACAACAUCAGAAUUCGGAAUAUCAUCAUGAGGACCUUUCCUCCUGUGGGGUAUUUUUGAUCUGUUUGCGUGGAACCUUGACCACGAAAAUGUUUGUAACCAUUGACUGGUUUAUCACAAAUAUAACACAUUUCAGCACCACAAACACAAACCAUUUUAUUGCACCCCUCUUCUUUAAAGAAAGAUUCAGCUUCACCACAAUUCAGCGGUACAUGAUUUAAUUGUUUACAUAAUCUAAAUAAAAAAUAAAUAGAUCAAAAUCUAUAAUAUGCUUCUGAACUUUAAAUAAUAUCAUAAAAGCACUAUACUUGCCUGCAAGAUU